CUGCGAAAGCCAAAGAUCAAGAAGCGAAAAAAUAAAAAAUUACAAAGUCUUUAAAUUAUUAAAAAUAAGGAGAAUUAUUAUAAACUAAAUUUUAAAAAAGUUCAGGAAGUGGAUCAGAAGAUAAACAAUUCGGAGUUUAAUCAAUCAAUGACAACUUAUUUCCACAAAUUAAUAGGAGCAUCAGAGGACUUAAGAUUCUGCGAGAUAUGUAAAAUGGUGAAAAGACUGGUUAUUUAUGUAUAUGAUUACUAUAUUAAUAAAAUUAAAAAUAUAUACCUAUAUAUUAAAAUAUCAAUAAA